GCAUUUCGUAAUGCUUGGAUCUCAUUUAAUGCUGUUUGUCAUCAAUUUUCAGCAACUGCUAUGACUGUAAAAUCUAAUAUUGCCAAAUUUCAUGUCUAGUUGCCGAAAGUACUCACAACCGGUUCUGACUUGAACCUUGAACGGAAUGAAAGGAGCUGCAGUGAAGAGUUCUCUGGAGAAAAGGUCGGAUUACCUCCCAAGGAGUCAUCACUAGAGAAGGCCUUUGAAUGCGUCAUUAAAUUGUCACUGCAGACCCUGACCUGCCAAAUUUGGCAGAUAUACUGUGGACAGGAAGAAGAAACACAUUCCCCUCUUUGCUGAUGCAUGCAGGAUAAAAGAGAACACGUUGUCUGUGUCCUGCUUUGCUCGACUUACACGUCACAUGGAAUCAAUACACACGACAAUGAGCCAGACAGCCAGCCAGCCGGCCAGCUCCCUGCCCUGGAUUUACAUGCAGACAAAUGUAAACAGAGCGCAACAGUCCGAGCAUGGCACAUCCAGGCGGCGCGUGACUCCUCUCUCUUCUGCUCUGCUUUCUCACUAGGAAUGGAAAAAAAAAAAAAAAGAAAAACAGUGAGAUGGGGUUGCUAGGAGACCCGGCCCGAUGCAAACACUGCACCAUCUGCUGCAGAGAGAUUUGCGGCGGUUAAGCCAAGUCGGACGGAGCAGGACGGAGAGCCCCGGAGAAUCGUUGAAAACAACAACAAAAGGAAGAUACAGUUCUUGGACAUGCAGCGUGGGAGGGGGGGAGCAGGAGAGACAACACGGCAAGUGAGUAGGGACUGAUCAUGGAGGAAAGUGGAGUAGGAGGCAUAACAAGUGCAACAUGAAAUUAGAUUCAUGUGUGACUAACAGGUGGGACUCUUAUAUCGCCCACUCAUCAUCCGCCUCCACAUACAUGUGCAGUAGGACACUCAUGUACUCAUGCAACCCACGCUCUCAUUACCUUUUCACUACAACCUUCUGUUUUUCCCCCAAUUCCUCAGAUAGUAAAAAAAAUAACAAAACAACAGUCAGAUAUCAACGUCGCAUUUUAUUAGAUCAUGAUCAUAUAACAUGAAGUAGACAUCGGCAUCCCUCUUUACAAAAGACGUUAAAAUUGAAACAUUUUCGGGUAAAAAAGUCUUUUUGUACAGCCAACCAGAGAGAAAGCCUGACAUGACCCUCAUCAAAUUCAUUCAUCAUCGCAGGGGUUUUGUUGAUCAAACAUGACACAUUGACAUUAUUUACAUAUUGUAACACGAAGGUUGACAUGAAUGCUAUUCCUCAUGGCAAAUACAGCCAAUACAAUAGAUUCAUAUAUUAAGAUCUGUGGUUGAUAAAAUAAAAGAUGUAAAAUAUAUAUGACGGACAAGUACGAUCCACAGCCUUGGCUUUCAGCUAUACACACCCUCGCAAUUUCUCCCCCCCCAAGCAAAAUGGGACGUUGUGCUUGGUUAGGUUCAUGCUGAUGGGUGCUUUCUUUGGUUGUGAUGGGUUUUAAGAUGACCUUCUACUGCAGAGGUUGGAACAACUGUCAACAAAAGAAA